CCCUUCAAAAUAGACUCCAAACCUCCUAAAGAUCAAAGUGAGUGCCAUACCAUAAGGCAAGUGAGCCUUAGACCUGUUCAGGAUCUUCCUCAUGGCCUCAAACAUCAAAGCAGGAAGGUUCAAGGGUGUCUGGGUGAUAACAUGGUACAUGAUGCAAAUAUCUCUACCAGAUAAGAGGUCAUGCCUACCACUCCUAGGGACAAAGAGCUUGGUCACCA
rnacentral:lncRNA from 1 species